AUAAUACUCCCUCCGUCAACAAAAGAUGUCUCAAUUUUGACCAAAUUUGAAUGUAUCUAUACACUAAGUCAUGUCUAGAUACAUCCAAAUUUUAACAAACUUGAGACAUCUUUUGUUGUACGGAUGAAUAUAUC
rfam:Brachypodium distachyon strain Bd21 chromosome 3, whole genome shotgun sequence.